AUUACGUAAUAGUAUUCUAUUACUCUGCUCUGGUGGUAGGGUUCGCCCCGACGACACGAGAGCGAUAUUUUCAAAUCGUGAAUUUUGUGCCACUGGCGGGCUGAGUGUGUGCUUGUGUGCGUGUGUGCGUGUGUGGUGUUUGUUUACAAAAAUACAAACGCAGCUACCUGUCGGUUUUAGAUUGUUUCAUUAGAAAACUCAGUGCCAAAGAGAAUAUGAACUCAAGUUAGUUACCAUGGCAAGUGGAAACAGUGAAGAUCCUGAAAUUGGCUCGGAUUAUGGGCAGUAUUGCUUGGAAGAUAUUCCUGCUGAUCAAGCAAAUCGAUUUGAAUUUGGAAAAGGAUAUGAUGUAUCUUUUUUUCAAGAUAUCAGGGAAAAAUAUCAAGGAAGAAAGAACAACAAUCGAAGGAGAACUCAACAUCCAACCUUGUUCAAGGCGCUCCAAGAUAUCCCACCCACCCAGCACUUUGGUUGGAUUUCAAGAAGCGCAAAGGGACCUGCAGCUCGAGGUGUACUUCUAUACAUUAUAUACUAUAGAAGAUGGCAUGGAUCAUUUUACACUGUCAGCAUCCAAAAACACAAAGGAGUGGUCUACUGAUGUUGGUGGGUAUGGAAACCUUGCCAAUGAAUUCAUGCAAACUCCAGAGUGCCAUGCUGUAGUAGAUACAUGGACUAGCAUCGUAAGAAAACACCAAUUGGCGAGAGAGAAAAAUCCAGAAUGGAUUGCCCACCACAAGGAAAGCGAGAUCCAACGCAAAAAAAACGCGUGGAAACAAUGUAUGGCAAAUCUUUAGGUCGUUCGACUUCAAUACGGACGGAGGCCGCAACUGCAAUUGCCAGUCAUCAAAAUAAUGGAUUCGAAAUGAUCAGAGGAAAUUCUGAAGGUCAUAUUCGAUGAUUGAUACGCUUCAUCAAAUGAAUAAUUUCGUUUUUUAGACUUAGAUGGAGAUGUGGCCCGAUUUAGUACCUCUUCUCCUAAUGAACAUGAUGUAUUGCUAGAAAGUCGUGAUGCUGGUCAUCAACAAGUAUUACCUGAUGUUCAUGAAGGGAGUGAGCAGUUUGUUUCAAAUAUUACUACGCGACCGAUGGCAACUUGUGGAGCUAUCUAUGGGUGUGAUUCAACGAGACCGAAUUUCAGUAGUCCAAGUGGUGAGCUAGUCGGAUCAACUACCACCACAGUUCCAAAUGCUUCAGGAAGCGAUGGUUACGCUUCUGUUCGCGGCAAUGUUCCACGAAAUUAACCCGCUCCAAUGCCGAUGCCUACUUUAUCAUCGACCUCGUCUGAUUCUAUACCCAAAUUCCUUCCGCUUCUGCCAAGCCUGGGAGAUGCCCUUCAAGUGGCCGUGGUGUCACUGACGCAAAAGGACGCAAUGGCUCGAAAAUCCUUGGUAGUUCUGCGGAGCGCCCAAUUGUGCACCCGUUAAGUGGUAAUAGUCGUAUAGGUACAGAAAAUAAUGCUAGCUCUCAGCAGGCAAAAAACAU